rnacentral:rRNA from 1 species
CCCUACGGGGUGCAGCAGGGUCGAGUUCUCUACAAUGCACGCAAGUGUGAUAGGGGGACUCCGAGUGCUCAUGUUUUACAUGGGCUUUUGCCAAGUGUAAAAAGCUUGGCGAAUAAGGGGUGGGCAAGACCGGUGGCAGCAGCCGCGGUAAUACCGGCGCCCCAAGUGGUGAUCGCGAUUAUUGGGCCUAAAGCGUUCGUAGCCUGUUUAUUAAGCUCUUGGUGAAAUCCAUGCGCUCAACGUAUGGGCGUGCCAGGAGAACUAAUAGACUAGGGACCGGGAGAAGUAAGGAGUACUGUUUGGGUAAGGGUAAAAUCUUAUAAUCCAAGCAAGACUACCUGUGGCGAAGGCGCCUUACUAGAACGGGUCCGACGGUGAGGGACGAAAGCUGAGGGAGCAAACGGGAUUAGAUACCCCGGUAGUCUCAGCCGUAAACGCUGUCUGUUAGGUGUUACACAUUGUUCGACGGUGUGUAGUGCCGAAGCGAAGGCAUUAAACAGACCGCUUGGGGAGUACGGUCGCAAGGCUGAAACUUAAAGGAAUUGGCGGGGGAGCAC